GAGUUUGAUCCUGGCUCAGAGUGAACGCUGGCGGCAGGCCUAACACAUGCAAGUCGAACGGCAGCACAGGGGAGCUUGCUCCCCGGGUGGCGAGUGGCGGACGGGUGAGGAAUACAUCGGAAUCUGCCUAUCUGUGGGGGAUAACCUCGGGAAACCGGGACUAAUACCGCAUACGACCUACGGGUGAAAGCAGGGGACCUUCGGGCCUUGCGCGGAUAGAUGAGCCGAUGUCGGAUUAGCUAGUUGGAGGGGUAAUGGCCCACCAAGGCGACGAUCCGUAGCUGGUCUGAGAGGAUGAUCAGCCACACUGGAACUGAGACACGGUCCAGACUCCUACGGGAGGCAGCAGUGGGGAAUAUUGGACAAUGGGCGAAAGCCUGAUCCAGCCAUGCCGCGUGAGUGAAGAAGGCCUUCGGGUUGUAAAGCUCUUUUGUUGGGAAAGAAAAGCAAUCGGCUAAUACCCGGUUGUUCUGACGGUACCCAAAGAAUAAGCACCGGCUAACUUCGUGCCAGCAGCCGCGGUAAUACGAAGGGUGCAAGCGUUACUCGGAAUUACUGGGCGUAAAGCGUGCGUAGGUGGUUCGUUAAGUCUGAUGUGAAAGCCCUGNGCUCAACCUGGGAAUUGCAUUGGAUACUGGCGGGCUAGAGUGCGGUACAGGAUGGCGGAAUCCCUGNUGUAGCAGUGAAAUGCGUAAAGAUCAGGAGAAACAUCGGUGUCGAAGCCGUCCAUCUGGACCACCACUGACACUGAGGCACGAAAGCGUGGGGAGCACACAGGAUUAGAUACCCUGGUAGUCCACGCCCUAAACGAUGCGAACUGGAUGUUGGGUUCAACUAGGAACUCAGCAUCGAAGCUAACGCGUUAAGUUCGCCGCCUGGGGAGUACGUUCGCAAGACUGAAACUCAAAGGAAUUGACGGGGGCCCGCACAAGCGGUGGAGUAUGUGGUUUAAUUCGAUGCAACGCGAAGAACCUUACCUGGCCUUGACAUGCACGGAACUUUCCAGAGAUGGAUUGGUGCCUUCGGGAACCGUGACACAGGUGCUGCAUGGCUGUCGUCAGCUCGUGUCGUGAGAUGUUGGGUUAAGUCCCGCAACGAGCGCAACCCUUGUCCUUAGUUGCCAGCACGUAAUGGUGGGAACUCUAAGGAGACCGCCGGUGACAAACCGGAGGAAGGUGGGGAUGACGUCAGGUCAUCAUGGCCCUUACGGCCAGGGCUACACACGUACUACAAUGGGAAGGACAGAGGGCUGCAAACCCGCGAGGGCAAGCCAAUCCCAGAAACCUUCUCUCAGUCCGGAUUGGAGUCUGCAACUCGACUCCAUGAAGUCGGAACCGCUAGUAAUCGCAGAUCAGCAUUGCUGCGGUGAAUACGUUGCCCGGGCCUGUACACACCGCCCGUCA
rnacentral:rRNA from 1 species